UACACAAAAUCAGCCUGGUUAUGGAAAUGAUUAUUUGUUGGGAGGGUGCCUGCCUAGAUCAAUGAUGAGCACAAUUGUCUGGGGAUCCUGAGGGAUUGAUUCCAGAUGUCAAUCUGAGGUCCAGAUGAAUUGCCCUUUACUAGAACAAAAAAGACUUUCAAGGCCUGGCUCUCUUUGGUGACCUCUCAGUGCCAACACAAUACCACUGUUAGCAUGAUUUAUAUUUUUCUAAGAAAAGAGCAUUUGUGUCCUAUUUUAUAAGGCACUAUGCACAUUUAGAUAUGAUCAGUAAUCCAAGACUUGCUCCAUUUUCUCACUUUGAACACACAGUUGUAGAGAGAUACUUGUAUAUAGAAAAUAUGUUCUUAAGUAACAAAUAAGAGAAUAAAAAUGAAUUAAUUAAUAAGGAGAGAAGCAAUUGUAGUGGGUACUGAAAUUCCCAUUUGGACUAAAAGAAGAAAAAAUGUAUGCUUAUAUUAAAUAAUGACAAUGGAACCAAUUUUAGUUUUUUGUUAAUUUUGCUGUUGAAUA
rnacentral:lncRNA from 1 species